rnacentral:lncRNA from 1 species
GGCAGGGGCAAUCUGGAUCAAUUGCUACCUCGGCUUCGACCCCGACGUGCCGUUCGGGGGGUACAAGAUGAGCGGCUUCGGCAAGGACAUGGGCAUGGACGCCCUUGAGAAGUACCUCCACACCAAGGCGGUGGUCACCCCUCUCUACAACACCCCUUGGCUAUGAUCUGAUGAUGAACAGCACAGAAAGAUUAAUUACAGUGGAAAAAAAUAACAUUUCUAUAUAUACAGCUGAAAGGUUGGGUUAUAUUUGUGGUUAGUUGAUUGCUUGUAUCAAAUAUCAAUUUGUCGGAAUAAAGACAGUAUAUUUCAGUUUCUCGGUGUGUUUUUCUUUGUCUGAUGAUCUGACGUAAACCCAUAAGAAAAAGGUUAAUGACAGUAUACUAUCAAACGCUAACCGACACCGACACAUUGACUUUUUUUUGCGUUGACUUUUUCUAUUACUCGGCAGUAAUAUGAAAUCUUGACAAAUCUGUUUUUUGAGGUGAUAAAGGUGCAUCGGCCUCGUUGACAAAUAAGAAAUUGAUUGGUCAUAUGCAAUUUGCUAGAAACAAGCUAGCUAGGACCUAGGAUUAUGAUACUCAAGAGGACACUUGCAAAUUGGAGUAAGAUAUUACAAAUUUCCUUUAAAACUUGGAAUAUGUAUAGCAUCCCAAAAGGCUACUUUUCUGAUCGUGACUGAUUAACAGAAGACCACCCUUGGAUCGAUUGUCAACGAUACAGUGGUCCAGAGAUCUGUUGUUUUCCAAUUAAAAGUCUGCUGGAAGUUGGACUAACAAAUUGAAAGUGCAGAUCAAUAUAGUCCCUUCAGUCACAACUAGAUGUUAUUUCGACAAUACAUAAUAUAACAUGGCAACUUUAACUAUUUACUCCGGUCAAGGAAACAUUUCGUUACCUUGACAAUAUCUUUAAAACACAACUUUAACUACUAGCUUACCCUUGUAAAACAAGAUUACUACUAAUUUCUAUUGCAAAUAUUUAUAAGGCAAAAUUUUCUAGAAGAAAUUCAAAGAUUAUGGCUUUACUAUCAAAACGUAGGGGCUGUUUGGUUCAUAUACUAACAUUGCCUAGAUUUACCAUACUUUCUUAGCUAAACUUGUCAAAGGUGAUGCCAUCAAAAUCCAAGCCACACUCUAACCAACAAAAUGAAACCAUGCCACACUUUUAGAGUCACUUACAUGUGGGACCUAGAUUACAAAAGAUGAAUCUUGUCACAUUUGUGGGAGCCAACCAAACACUCAUUUAACAUGGUCAAACUUGCCUAACCUCAAGUAUGGUAAAGUGUGGCAACUUAUGCCUAUCAACCAAACAGCCUCGGCUUGAGGACACCUUAAAAACAUGAUAACUUGCUGGAGAACACCGUGUCAGUUAAUUUACCAUUUCUAACAUGUUUGAGCAGAGAGAUAUUUUAAGAUGACUAUAAUGCCACUCCCAUCCGUGUGAACGAGGCAAGUACGUUUGGUUUUAACCAGACUGUAUCCCUACCCCCUCUAUGCUCUCUCACUCUCAAAAACCUAGCAGGUGGCAAGGUGGUGAGGAAGAACGAAAGGGGCAACAUACAUAUUGAGUGGAUAUUACAGUUUAAUGGUUGUGCAUGAUGUCCUCUAGCAAUUAAAUUACCAUAUUUUUAUGUUGUGUACAGCCAAAUUCAUGUUUUACUAGUGUCCAAUAGCAAAAACCAUAAUCUUUGGAUGUCCUAUAGUGAAAUUUGUUUAUUUACAAAACAUGACAAACACAUAAUACUAUGAAAAUAAUUUUCAAGACAAAUCUACGUAUAUGAUUUUCAUGCAUAUGGUGUCAAUAUUUAGAAAGCAUUGAUGUUUAAAGUUUUUAAAAAAUUGAUUUAAGACAUUCAAAACAAUAUAUUUCUAUGACUCUGGGACUACUGAACUACUGAUUCUUGUUGUAAAGUGUUUAUAAAAUCCAUUUAAAUUAUAAUUUUAAUGAAAGUACUUUUUUGAGGCAAAGAGCAUGCAUCUUGUAUGAUUUUCAUAUACUCAAUCUACAUAUUUAUUAAAAUAAAUUGAUACUCUAACUUUAAAAGGUUUGAUUAGAUGCUUGUCCAAAACAAUUAGGGGAAGUACUAUUUGUAAUAGGAGAAAAGUGCUUCUAACUCUAAAAUGAUUAGUACUAUCAAAUGCUGAGAUAAUGACGUGCCAAGGUAAGCUAAUUUCAUCCUUUGGGCUAUAAUUAUGCCCCAAGUCAACCUCUGAUUACGCGAUAAUUUAGACGAAACUUAAGCUAGAGGCCUAGAGCGUAGCUCUCAUGAUGAUUUCAUAACAAAUAUAGCGUGACAUGUACAAAUCGCGUUGCUUAAAGGCAACCAGCUCUCAGUUAGACAAAAGUUAUUAAUUGAUUGGGUCCCGGCUCGUCCAAUGUAUUAGUUAAUUGUAGGGUUGUCCAUCAAGCAAGUGUUGUCUGGAUCGAUUAUGGAUCGCUAAUUUAAAUUAAAUUUGACGGUUUUGGCAGUCACGUUAGUCGAAUUGUGUAGAGUAUUUGUAUUCCAAAGCAGGAGGGCAUGCGAUAUAAUUCGAUCAACAAACGAUCAAAUGGAGAUAAUAUAAUUAAAGAAUUGAAGACCGUCUUAUUGUUGAGUCGAUCAUUGUCUUGGGAUGUUACUCUGUGACAAGAUAUAUAUAUAAGCGAAAAUGCCAGAUGAUGCCCUUGAUUAACUUGAACUUAUUAUAUGAUGUAAUCCCUACGUUUUUUAAUACACAACACCACUGAUAAAAUACGUUUAAUUAUUCAUCUUAUUUAAAAAAUUAACAUAAUUAUAUUAUAUUUUAUUAUGACUUGACUUAUCAUUAAAGGUUUUUUAAUCAUGCAUGACUUAUAUCUUGCUGUGUUUGUGUAAAAUUUAUUGAUCAAACAUAUGUAAAAAGGUUAGCAGCGUCAGAUAUUAUAAAAAUGAAAAGAGUAUUACCUUAAGUAACAAUUUUUUUAUAGAACUCUAACCAGCAUUUCCGUGUACGUACUUACCAAGAAAAAUUUAGUGGCCAUGAUUUAUCAUUUCUUUAAUUGAUAUUUAGAAGGUGAAAAUGUGAAAUUCCCUAAUAUAAUCUUUAAAAUAUGUUUGUGAAUGUGUUGAGUUCAUAUUACCAGUGGUAUUACCAGUGGUCCAGUUGGUAUUGUCCACGUAAUUAAUUAAAACAAGAGGAGGUUUCUCAGAACAGAUCAACGCAUGCAUGCUUGAACCUUGCUGUGCAUAUAUGGUGCAUUCAACAGGUUGCAUCUUGUAUCAAAUUAAACUUGUCUACUGCUUGUCCCAUUCUUUUCUCCAACAAGAGUUAGAUUAAUAUUAAGAUUUUCAUGGUACGCUUUUCAAACUGCUAAACGGUGCGUUUCGUGCGAAAACUUUUUAUAUAAAAGUUGCUCUAAAAUAUCAUAUUAAUCUAUUUUUCAAGUUUGCAAUAAUUAAAACUUAACCAACCAUACGUUAAUACCACCUCGUUUUGCAUAAAAAACUUAAUUUUCAUCUUCAGAAGAAAAGAACACCUUGCUCUGAUGAACUUUGAUCCAAGGGCUCAAAUUGUAAUGCCCCUCCCAUUUCUUCUUUAUAAGCGCUUUCUGGAAGGUGAAUCUCUUGACAUUCAUGGCUUAAGAACUAAAAAGGUCUCAUAAGGCCAACCGAAAAGUUUGUGUGUGUUCCGUGAAAGUUCCCAAAGUUGGAAAAAGGUUGUGUACGUCAGUGAAAGAUUUUUAAGUUUUGUGGGUCAAUUAUAUGGAAUUUCCCAUCUGGAAGUUUACUUUACCAGUUAUUACAAGAAACUCAUUUCAGAAUUUUGAGAUCUCAGUCAAUUUUUAUUGUUUUAUCUGGAUUGAAAUUUCCGAGGAUUGAAUCAUGCGAGGUUAAAGUCCAAAUUUAAUUUCCACGCUUCACCAGUUGAAGAUCGUAAAAUGAACUUAUUAAUUCAUUGUAUUAACCCUAUUAUGUAAAAAAUAGUCGAUAUAGCAAAACAACGACUAACCUUCUCGAUCGCUUCAGUCAUUGAUCAUCCAAGACAUACCAGAUAAAGACACAGAAACACACGAUAUUUGUUAACGAGAUUCAGCCAAAGCGUACAUCUCCGGGGCUCGCGCUCCUCCCAAAUCAAUAUAGCAACUAAGCCGCUACGAGUCCAUAGCUUGUAGUAGGCCCCAAUCAAUAUAACAAUUAGGAGACUUUUGUUAUCCCUGUAAUUUCUUCAUAUGGACUCUGCCUGCAGUAGUCCUCCAUUUUCCCACCUAUCAUCUUAGUCAUCUUGCCAACUCAAAUUGAACUCCUCCUUAACCGGCUCAUACUAGACUCCUCAAAGGCCAUGUUCACCUUUAUCUUCUGUCUUAAAUUUGAUUUUAUCUAAUCCAUGACUAGAUAGCUCUUGUCAUCACUAAAUAAACAAAUCAAACUCAUUGGACUAUUGAAGAGAACCAUUUCUUCCUUGUUUUUUUGAGGAGAAAUACUGUAGGGGAAACCCCCACAGUAAAAAAAUUAUUAAUAAAAAUUAAAAAAAUAUUUACAAGAGGUUUAUCCAUUGUGAAAGAGUUUGUCUCUCAGAAACAUUUAAUAUAAAAACUAAAAGCGAAAGAUCAAUCUUAAAGAAAGCUUUCCCAUAAGAAACUAAUGGAGGUAUAUUCUUAAAGAUUAGUGAGUUUCUUUGCUUCCAAAUGUUCCACGCUGCAUAAAGAACUUUCUCAACAAAAUGUGAAGACCUAUAGGAAGUCUUUGCUUGAUGUAGCUAGCUAGCAUAUCUUCAAAGGUGAGAGGGAUGUCCCAGACAAUACCAAACCGAGCCCAGCAAUCAGCACUAAAAGGACGCUGAAAGAAAAUAUGUAAAGUGGUUUCUCUUGCAUGGGUUGAACAGAGCACACAUGCUAAAUCAGAAUUGUCAGAAGGACAAUGUCUUCUAUCAAGCAUGUCAUAGGUAUUAAUUUAAACGAUUGAUUAAGAGAAGCCAACCAAAAACCAUAAAUUUUAUAGAACACUUGCUUUUCCAAAUCCAAAUCAAAUACCCAGGCGCCUGUAUAUGCAUAAAAUUGAUGUCAUGACCAUUUCUUUCUUAUUAUCUUAUGAACCGAGCUAAAAAAUCCAACAUCUAUGUUUUCUGCAUCCGUAGACCAAAUCCAUGAUAAUUUGAGAAAAUUCAAUAUUGCCUUGAAUCACUUGAACAAGUUAUCACGAUAACCUUUGCUCUUCCUCUUUAAUGACACAUAUUUUCAUAUAUCCUAUCAUGCCGACCCGUAUAUCUUAGAUAUAUCUUGUACUGCCAAACGAAUCAACGAAUUCAACCCACUGUUGCCCGGGUAUUUUUUUCAACCUGAUCCGAACGUCCUAUUACCCACGGUAUGAUUGCUUGCUUGCAAUCUAACCUUCUAGCUCUGACCUAGCUCGGUCUGGUCUGCACACAUGACACACCUCUACCACACAUCUUGCUGGGUGAUCACUUUGUGCAAGCAAUAUGCAUAGGACAACACCCUAUGCCAUUAGUCUGUGCCUCUGCACGUACCGCAGUCGCAGCCCUCGUGUCCACCAUCCACGACCUCAUCGUCCUCUGCCCUGCACAUCCACCGCACCGCAUCACGUUCGUCAGCUUCGCCCUUCUUCUAUAGCCUCCUCGCCGUCGCGGAUCUGCGAUCGCCGCGUGCGUCAGGCAUGUCGUUCGUAGCACUACCCCUCCGAUAUCUCAGAACACCUACGGCCAUGUCCAGCCUCAUCUUCCAAUCACGUUCUGCCAUCCCUGGUUUGAUCACAAGCUUCGCCUCCACAACAUCCUCGUUGUCACCAUCUAUCUCGUUGCCAUGAUUGAUGAUCUCCUUCCGAUGCAUGAUCCCACCUCGUGUUUCCUCCUUCACAUGUCUUCUUGAUCAAAAUGCUAAAACCUUUGGCUUUGAUACCACUUGUUAUAAAAGUUAGUUGAUAUAGCGGAACAACGACUAACAUUCUCAAUCACUUCAGUCAUUGAUCACCCAAGACACAUUACAUGAAGACACAAGAACUCACGAUAUUUGUCAACGAGGUUCAACCGAAGCCCAUAUCUCCAGAGCUCUGAUUAUGGAUGCUUCUCCCCAAUCAACAUGGCAACUAAGCCAUUAUGAGUCCAUGACGUGUCUACGCACAUUGUAGUCGACAUGGUUACAUUGUGGUGCUCCCCUCUAUUUAAAGAAAACAUAUGACAGGAAUCCGAUUCUAACUCUGUAUCCUACACCUAUUCUAACUUCAAAUCCAACUUCUAGUAGGACUAGUAUAUUCGACAUAUUCUAACCAUUUGUAAGUUUAUAGUAUUUGUUAAAAAAAAGACCAAAAGUACACUACUCCUAAAAUCCACCAAAUUAAUACGUUAACAAGAACAAAUUAAAGGACAAAAAUUUAAUACCGUUCAUUUUAGGUUGACCACUCUACAUAUAAACAAAAUAAAUUUUAAGGUACUUAAGAAAGUACCUAUAGAAAGUACAUGUAGGUAACAAAUUUUACACUAAAAUUAAAAAUUUUGGUACCUAUAGAUAUUAAGUACCUAGGAAUAUCAUGUUUUAUAUAAAAAAAAUAUGAUAUCCCCUAUCUUUUCAAAGGUGAUAAAAUUACUCGCAAAAUACAGCUGUAUAUAUUUACAGAAAUAGAAACAAAGGUAUAUAUCAAAUUAAUACAGUAUUACUUCCAACUAAAUUUAGACCUUGGUCCAUGCAAUUUUCUUAGCAAAAUCCAGUUAGUUUACUAAUUAAAUAUAGAAACUUAGACAACACUCAUGCAUGAUAUAACAGAAAUAUGGUGUCUCUAGAAGAAAGUCCAUAUAAAAGCAUCAACCGGCGGAAACAUAUGAAGCAGGAGAAGACACGUCGACCGAGGAUAAGUAGUCUAUAGUGUACAUGUUGCGGUACGCCUAUCUUGUAAAGUACAUGCAACUGGACGUGCGAACGAAAACCAUCACAUACUACUACUACAUAAUAGCAGCAGCCGGUGGCACAGGAAUUAAGGUGAAGCUGUUGACCAUAUAGUUAACUAAUCUGCACAUGGAAGCUAGUGUUAGAAAAUACCCCCCUCAGUUACAUAUUGUAAGUUCUAAAAAAAGUUCCCCAUAUUGUAACAUUUAUUUAGUUUUUUUCUGAAUUAAAAGUUCUUUAACUUCAAUCAAAAUAUAGGGAAAAAAAAGUAAGUAACAUCUACAUUCCCAAAUGAAUACACUAUGCAAGACAUGUUUCACAGUAGAUUUCAGUUAAACUUGAUAUUGUAAACGUUUGCAUAUUUUAUGUAAAUUUGAUUUAAGUUACAAAAAUUUUACUUAUAACACAAAACUGAAACUGAUAGAUGUUAAGUACAAUGAUUGAUUAAUGUUUGAUAGUAACAGCCAUGAGAGACAUCAAAUGCUCACUCUAUCUUAAAAUAUAAGCAUUUUUAAAAAUAAAGCUAAAUCAAAUAUUUUUAACUUUUGCUAUCAAUAGCAAAAAAAAAACAACCAUGUAUAUGGAUAAUAUUACUCGACUUAGCAUUAAACAAAUUAACAUACUAUGCAACUCUUUUCAUUUAAACAACUUAUUUUUAUAAAUAUUAUUGAUAGCAUCUCAAAGAUCUUGUUAAAGUAAAAAAAACACACACACAUAUAUAAAAAUAUAAUGGAUGGAGAAAAAAAUUGAACAGAAGAAUUGGGCCAAGUCCAACCAAUGAGGUGCUUUUCCUAGGUACAGCCAAUAUAGCCUGGCACGAUCGAUGGAUGCAUUGGGACGAUGGGUCGUCAUCGUCUAUAUAAAGAUCAAGCCAGUCGUCCCUGCUGUGUCCAAGAGAUCUACUGUUCUCCUUGUUGAGAGGAAGCCAUCCAGCCAGCUAGCUAUAAGAUAGAUAGAAGAAGAUCAAGACGACGACCAAGUAGAGGAUAGGCAUCUCUCGAAGCUUAGAGACAAAUAAUUAACUAGAGAUCAAGAGCCUAUUCGUCGUCCAUGGGGAGCACCGGCGACUGCGGCAAUGGAAAGGCGGCCGCCGGCGGCGGCGGGUUGGUGGUGCCGGAGAUCAAGUUCACCAAGCUCUUCAUCAACGGCGAGUUCGUCGACGCCGCCUCGGGUAAUACAUAGAUAUAUGCCUCAUCGUCAUUGAUUAACUUAAUUAAUUAAUUAAUUAAUUAAUUCCCAUGGUUUCUUUACAAGAUAGGCGUACUGCUACACGUUUCAUCGUCUUUGAUUAUAAUUUUUCAUCCUUAUGUGUGUUUCUACCCAUUCUCUUUCCAGCUAUCUGAUACGAGAAAUUUAAUUUACCAUACCCGAGGUACCAGUACUUAGGAUAUUUAGGAAGUACCAAAGUUUAUAUAAAAAAUAUGAUACCAAUACAACUUAAUUCAGAACUGUCUCUAAUAUUUAUAGGAAACUAUUUAAGCUCUCGACAAUUCCGUACCAUUUUUUUUUUACAUUUUCUUUGGAAAAUAUGAUAAAUUUAACCGGCCUCUACAAAUUAAUAGUUAUGAACAAUCCUGCAAUAUAUAUAUAUAUAUAUAUAUAUAUAUAUAUAUAUAUAGUUAUGAACAAUUUUGUCACGUAUAUUAGUAUUUUACCGUAUACGCACUGUCGUUGUCGUCGUCAGCCAACUGAUCAAAAUCUCUCCCAAGGAAAACUAACGGCUUAACAUCGAGCAUGGAAUGCAAACGAUAUGAUGGUACUCUGUUGACGAACUAAUUUAUUGGAGUUAACUCAUGCUCGAUUUCUUGCAUAAAAAUUAGAGAAAUAUGUAGGUACGUACGUGUAUGAAUAUAAUGUACAAAUAUGUAGGUACGUAUGAAUAUGAUGUACUGCGUGUUGCUAUAGAGCUGAGGCGGUUUUUGUUUUGUUUUUUUUGUUUUGAAAAUAGCCGCUAGCUAGCUAGCUUUCUCUUCAAUUCUCGCGGUCUCCUGAAAAUGAAAGAAAGAGUAUGUUCCAACAUGGAAAACUCUCGACGACCGAUCUAAUACUGAAAAUUAAAGAGGAGGUUAAAACUUAAACCUUACGGGGGCAAAGAAUCUAACUGCUCUGGAUCUAGCUAGCUGUACUAUAUUUUCACAAAUUUCUCCUGUUCUAUUUAAUAAAAUUGGUGGCUCAUGAUUCGUUAAACAAAAAAAAGGAAUUCUUGCUGCCUCCAUCAAAACAUUAAACGACCAUCCAUGUCCAUGAACCCUUGUACUAACGGUACACCACACAUUUAUAUCAUUUAUAUCAGUUACCAUAUACGUAAGUAGCCAUGUCUGCUGGUGGUUAAUUUAUUGCAAUAAUAUAACCUAUAGUGUUUUAUAUGUUAUUUCUUUCUCUCUUUAUUCUUUUUGCAUCAUAUAUAUCAUUCAUCAGAAGUAGUUAAUUAAUUAAAUUAAAGCGUAAUUCCUAUAGUUUUUUUAAUUCGGUGUUAUUUAUUUUCUCUUAAUUAUUAUAUAUUUUCUUUUACAUCAUUCAUCACAAGUAUAUAAAGCAUGAAUGAAACAAAGUUUUGCGUCAUGCAUGAGUCAUGUACUUUGGCAUUAUGAAAUGAGCACAUGAUAUUGACUCUUAGACGUGGUUGCAUCCGUAGAAACAGGAGGCCAGAUCGAAGCCAAGUCAAAACGGUUGUGUACGUUCUAUAUGUCUCGCUCCCAGCUAUACAGAUAUCUACAAAUAAUAAAGAAUAUAUUUUUGUUUAUCUCCUUAGCUAAGCUAGCAUUAGCAGCCGGCCAGCACAGCACACAUGACAAGCUAGCUAUUCCCUCCGAUUUUAAUAUAUAACAACUUUUUAGGACACACAUUUGUUUGACUAUUUGUCAGAUUUAAAAUUGUGUGUAAACAUAAAAAAAAUACAAGUUAUUCUUAAAGUAUAUAUAUAAUGAUAAAAUAAAUAAUAACCUUAUGAUUUUUUAAAAUAAGAUGAAUGGUUAUGUUUAAAUGUCAAUUGUGCCAAAUCGGAGAGGGUAUUAGCUAGCUACUACAUGAAGCACCAUGAAUCGUACGUCAAGUGGCCAAACGUGGCGUGCACUGCGAUUGCAAAUUAAGGCAGUUAAAAAAAUUUUGGUUUCUUUGUAGGGGGAAUAGCUUUAUUUAUUUACAAGAGAAAACAAAUUAUCCAGCAUUUAUUAUGCCCUCAGAAAAAUAUCCACCCUAAAAAUGGAAAAAGGGAAUCAAUGUGAGUGUGGCUCCACGUAGACAUGACGUCAUGGUGAGAGGGAACAGCUUUGACUAGUCAUAAAUAUCUUCCAUUCUCGUGGGAUUCUGUUCAUAAUCCUCGGCAUUCCCUCAUUGUGCCACUAACAAAAUGGACCUUGCUUUCAAAAAAAAAAAAAAGAUGGACCAAGAAGGUCCUGUCGGUACAAAACUUUGAAAAAUCUCAAAUUGUUCUUCCUCUAUUUGGAUUGGCCAUUGCAACCGAUCAAAGUUGAAAAUUUUGAUCAGUGUCUUGUACUCUUGUACCACUUCUGUCCCAUAAUAAUUAUAUUUCUAGAAUUCAAAUUAUCUCAAAUGGUUUUCGUAAUAAAGUACAAAUUAUCUCAUCAAUCACUUCCCAUUCAAAUUCCUCCAUAUUUUACUCUCAAGCACCCUCCCACUUUUACAUAUGCACCAUUGAAUGAGAGACAUCAUAGUUUUUCUUCUCUGUAUCAUAUAUAAGUCAUUUCACUUUUUUAGUUAAAUUUCUUUGAGUUUGACCGAGUUUAUAUAAAAAUAUAGUAACAUUUUCAAUGCAAAACAAACAUAUUAUCAAAAUAUAUUCAAUGUUAGAUUUAAUGAAACUAAUUUGGCAUUGUAGAUGUUGCUAAUAUUUUCUAUAAACUUGGUCAAACCUAAACAACUUUGACUAAGAAAAGUGUCAAACGAUUUAUAAUAUGAAGCAGAGAGAGUAUAUGAUAAGAUAAUUUAGAAUUACAAUUACUUCGGGACGAAGGUAAUAUCAAAAUUAGGGUUUACAAGAAUGGAAAUAAUGUUCACUCUAUUAAAGUGUUUGACUUUUUCAACUUUUCUAAAAAUAUUUGCCACGGUCUUUUCUUUUCCUCUUAUGUUUGUGUGAAGUGGAUACUUCACUCUCGUGAUAAAUCAAGUCAUACUUUUUCAACUGAAAAUAGUUAUCUCUACCACUUUAAAAGUGCAGUCGUCCUCCUUCUGUUCUCUGUCCAUCAUUCCACCUAGGGUCCAGCAUUUUAUUCUCGAUCCACCUAUCGAGCCAACCCCUAAUUAUAUGGGCCUAGCCUGUGCUUUAUUCUUAAUCCACCCACUCAGCUAAUCUCAAAGGUCUGGCCCUAUAUUACUACUAAGGAAAAAAAUGAUGGUGCAAAGAGAUAAACUAAAAGACAUCACCCAAAGGACCAUGGAAAAACUCAAAAUGUUAAUCUCUAUCUCCUUAAAUCUUGUUUCAAGAACGAAAACGGACAAAUGUAAUUGUUUCUAUGUGGAUUUGAUUUUUACAGGCAAGACAUUCAAGACAAGGGACCCACGAACAGGCGAUGUCCUGGCCCACAUCGCAGAGGCAGACAAGGCUGAUGUGGACCUCGCCGUCAAGGCCGCGAGAGAGGCCUUCGAGCACGGCAAGUGGCCCCGCAUGUCAGGCUAUGUACGUGUUUCCACUCCCAUAUGAUCUUCUUCAGAGCCAAAUUUUACAAGUUCGUCCAAUUUACUGUAUGGUACUGUAGCUUGUCCGACAAAAUCCACAAACAAUGUUGCCGUCACGCAGGAGAGGAGCAGGGUGAUGAACAAGCUGGCCGACCUGGUGGAGCAGCACGCCGACGAGCUGGCGGCGCUGGACGGCGCCGACGCCGGGAAGCUGCUGACGCUGGGCAAGAUCAUCGACAUGCCCGCCGCGGCGCAGAUGAUGCGGUACUACGCCGGCGCGGCCGACAAGAUCCACGGCGAGUCCCUUCGGGUGGCCGGCAAGUACCAGGGGUACACCCUCAGGGAGCCCAUCGGCGUCGUCGGCGUCAUCAUCCCCUGGAACUUCCCCACCAUGAUGUUCUUCCUCAAGGUCAGCCCCGCCCUCGCCGCCGGCUGCACCAUCGUCGUCAAGCCCGCCGAGCAGACGCCCCUCUCCGCUCUGUACUACGCUCACCUCGCCAAGCUGGUAACCAAUGUUCAAACCAAAUCCACCCUUUUGUUUUCAUGCCUGCUUUUCUUCUUGUUCUUGAGUUGAUUUUCUAGAAUUUGGAUGAUAAUUCAGUGUACCUUUGAUAUCAUCAUUCAGGCUGGAGUUCCGGAUGGAGUGAUCAACGUCGUCCCGGGAUUCGGGCCGACAGCCGGUGCGGCACUCUCCUCCCACAUGGACGUCGACAGUGUGAGCACUCCGAUCACCAUCUGGUACUGUAGCGUUUCAGGUUUUUGUCUGAAUGAGUUUCUGACCGAAAUGUUGUUGUGCAUAUGUCAGGUUGCUUUCACUGGCUCUGCUGAAAUCGGCCGUGCCAUCAUGGAGUCGGCGGCGCGGAGCAACCUGAAGAAUGUGUCUCUUGAGCUCGGCGGCAAGUCUCCGAUGAUAGUCUUCGACGACGCCGAUGUCGACAUGGCUGUCAGUCUGUCAUCCCUUGCAGUUUUCUUCAACAAGGUAACUAAAUGCACUAUGCACCGGACCAAGGUUCAGAAAUGUUCAGGUUAGGAGUGUUCAGUUCAGACUCUGAACUUCAGAGCAAAAAAAAACUGACCGUGCUACUGGCGUCUGAAAUUUUCAGGGAGAGAUUUGCGUGGCCGGGUCACGCGUCUAUGUCCAAGAAGGGAUCUACGAUGAGUUUGUGAAGAAGGCCGUGGAGGCUGCCAAGAACUGGAAAGUUGGAGACCCUUUUGAUGCUGCCACCAAUAUGGGUCCUCAGGUAAUAUUAUCCUACUAUUUUCAUAUUUUUGUUCUGAAACAUUUUCUGUCGAAAUGCGAGCAAUGGAAGAAAAAACAUUGAGAUGACAAAAUGGACAAUUGUAUCAGAACUUAUGAACAUUAUGUUUUCAUUUGCUAGGUUGACAAGGUCCAAUUUGAGAGGGUUCUCAAGUACAUUGAGAUCGGCAAGAACGAGGGAGCAACCCUACUCACAGGUGGCAAACCCACUGGUGACAAAGGAUACUACAUUGAGCCUACCAUAUUUGUGGAUGUCAAGGUAACCAGCUUACAUUUAGAAGCACAAUCAAAUCAAAUCAACAAUGCUCAUCUGGGUUGAUCCUCCAUGCAGGAGGAAAUGACGAUUGCGCAAGAGGAGAUCUUCGGCCCGGUGAUGUCCCUCAUGAAGUUCAAGUCAGUACUCAAAAACCUCACAAGUUUCGAUGAUCUGAUCUCAUCUCCAAAACAAACAAAAAAAAACAUUCUGAAAACUUGACUUAUGAUCUGAACUUUUUUUUUUCUUCAGGACGGUGGAGGAGGCGAUAGAGAAGGCCAACUGCACCAAGUACGGGCUGGCUGCCGGCAUUGUGACCAAGAACCUCAACAUUGCCAACAUGGUGUCGAGGUCAGUGCGGGCCGGCACGGUGUGGGUGAACUGCUACUUCGCCUUCGACCCCGACGCGCCGUUCGGCGGGUACAAGAUGAGCGGGUUCGGCCGGGACCAAGGGAUGGUCGCCAUGGACAAGUACCUGCAGGUCAAGACCGUCAUCACCGCCGUCCCGGACUCGCCCUGGUACUGAUAAAUCAAAUCAAGCAGCAGCUAUAGCUAGAGUGUACCAUGUACCAUGAAUGCUGCAGCCUGUGUAGUGUUUUCGGAUGUUUUUCUCCUUAAUUCUGCUGCUGCUUGGUGUGGUUGUAUGUAGUUUGGUUGUGGGGUGAGAUAUGGUGCAGAUUAAAAGGGGUUCUGAUGAUCAUGAUCUGAUCCUUGUUUGGUUGAACUUGUUGAGAAAUGGAUGUAUAGAACUCAUGUGCCAUCGUUUGAAAUCGUACAAAAUGUGCCUCAAAGUUCAAAGCAGGUUGGAUUAUUCGAACGGGGUACUGUGCCCUGAGCCCCUGACCGCCUUGUUCGGUAUGGAAGGGGUUGAAGGGGUUUGGAGGGAUUUGAGGGGGAAUAAUUCCACACCACAAUAGGUGUGGAAUAAAUCCCCUCCAAUCCCUCUCUCUUGGGGAUUAACCGAACAUAGCAUUAACAGUAUGACUGGAGUUGUUUUAAUUGUGUUCUCUGAUAAAUGGCCAGAGCCAGAUGCAAGAAUGAAUACUGAGCAAUACCAUUAGGACGAAUGCAUGACGGUCUCAAGUUGAAAACGGAUGAUAUAGGCAGAUAUAUAAGCACUCAUAGAAACAACAGGAAACUUCUUAAAAUAUUUGCCACGCAUUUCAGGGCAUCGUGAUAUGCUACCGAACUUUUGGUUUCCAUUAGUCAGAUGAAAAUUCCAUGUCCUGUUUUGCCGAGCCAUGUUUUUUUUUUCCGAAAGAAGAAGAAGAAAAACCAAAGUAGGAAUUUUGUACAAUAACUUUUGUUGCACAGAAAUCAUCUUAUUGGUUUGGCAUUCAUUUCUGUAAAUCAAAACAUACCAUAUUCAUUUCUAAGUUAUGCACACACUCGAUUAGCAAGAGAAAAUAAUAUUGCCUCAAAAUAUAAACAGUUUUAGGGUUGGACACGAUGUUGAUGGGCUAUACCCAUAACAUGAUAAUUUGAUUUAAUCUAUCAUAAACUAGUGGUAAUUUGAUGCAUAUUAUGAAGUCUAAUCUUACCAGUCUGAGGAUGAACUGUCGAGGGUCAAGUCGAGGAUGACGAGCGGACGAGGAGGGGGAAAGCAGGAGCCAAGAGCUAACCGAGGCGAGGUAGCUGCAGCCUCAGAGUCGCAAGCAACAAGCUGUGUCGCCGGUCGCCACACGUGGAAUUGGGAUCGACAUCUCGGCAGUUAGUGUGGCGUGGAAUUAGGAUUGCACAGCAGCCAGCACUAGGGCCAAAAAAAAUUAGACGAUCGCACAGCCUAGUAGUGCC